rnacentral:rRNA from 1 species
CCAACCUGCCCUGAACUGGGGGAUAGCCCGCCGAAAGGCGGAUUAAUACCGCAUAUACCAGCAGCCUGGCAUCAGGCAAUUGGGAAAGAUUUAUUGGUUCAGGAUGGGGUUGCGUGACAUUAGCUAGUUGGCGGGGUAACGGCCCACCAAGGCGACGAUGUCUAGGGGACCUGAGAGGGUGAUCCCCCACACUGGCACUGAGAUACGGGCCAGACUCCUACGGGAGGCAGCAGUAGGGAAUAUUGGGCAAUGGGCGAGAGCCUGACCCAGCCAUGCCGCGUGCCGGAUGAAGGCCUUCUGGGUUGUAAACGGCUUUUCUCAGGGAAGAAAAAGGUGAUGCGUCACAAACUGACGGUACCUGAGGAAUAAGCACCGGCUAACUCCGUGCCAGCAGCCGCGGUAAUACGGAGGGUGCAAGCGUUGUCCGGAUUUAUUGGGUUUAAAGGGUGCGUAGGCGGCCCGUUAAGUCCGGGGUGAAAGCCCACAGCUCAACUGUGGAACUGCCCUGGAUACUGGCGGGCUUGAGUCCAGACGAGGUUGGCGGAAUGGAUGCUGUAGCGGUGAAAUGCAUAGAUAGCAUCCAGAACCCCGAUUGCGAAGGCAGCUGACUAGGCUGGUACUGACGCUGAGGCACGAAAGCGUGGGGAGCGAACAGGAUUAGAUACCCUGGUAGUCCACGCCGUAACGAUGGAUACUCGCUGGUGGCGAUAGACAGUCACUGGCUUA